rnacentral:rRNA from 1 species
AACUGUGGUUUCGAACAUAAAUCACCACUGGCCCGAUCUAGUCUGAUCUCAGAAGCUAAGCAGGGUCAGGCCUGGUUAGUACUUGGAUGGGAGACCACCUAGGAAUACCAGGUGCUGUAUUUU